UACGGGGGGAGCAAGCGUUGUUCGGAUUUACUGGGCGUAAAGGGCGCGUAGGCGGCGUGACAAGUCACUUGUGAAAUCUCCGGGCUUAACUCGGAACGGUCAAGUGAUACUGUCGUGCUAGAGUACAGAAGGGGCAACUGGAAUUCUCGGUGUAGCGGUGAAAUGCGUAGAUAUCAAGAGGAACACCUGCGGCGAAGGCGGGUUGCUGGGCCGACACUGACGCUGAGGCGCGAAAGCCAGGGGAGCGAACGGG
rnacentral:rRNA from 1 species